UACGAAGGGGGCUAGCGUUGCUCGGAAUUAUUGGGCGUAAAGAGCUCGUAGGCGGCUUGGCAAGUCGGAUGUGAAAACUCCAGGCUCAACCUGGAGCCGCCAUUCGAUGCUGCUAUGGCUAGAGUCCGGUAGGGGAGUGUGGAAUUCCCGGUGUAGCGGUGAAAUGCGCAGAUAUCGGGAGGAACACCGAUGGCGAAGGCAGCACUCUGGGCCGGCACUGACGCUGAGGAGCGAAAGCGUGGGGAGCGAACAGG
rnacentral:rRNA from 1 species